rnacentral:rRNA from 1 species
UAUGUUUGAUUUUGAUUAAGAUUAAUUCUGUCUUAUGUUUAUGUUAAAUUGGUUAUAUUUGGGUGGUAUUAAAUAUAAAUUUUUGUGUGUUAAUUAUUUUGUCUAAAGGGUGAAAUUUAAAUUAUAUUUGUAGUUUUUAAUUU